UUGCAUGAAGAGCAAGAAAUCAAGAAAGGAUGAGGGAACAAAAAGAAUAUUCUUCCCUGCCGGUGGCUGCACCACCUACCUAAGCAAAGUGAUCGCAUGGCUGGGACCACAGGUGUAUGAUUGCUUCAGUAUGGUAGAUUACAUUGAUUGAUUUCUGAAUGUUGCAUCUUUUCUAUGAACCCUAUCAGUUGAACUGCCUGACGUGUGGCUCCAUUACACAUGUGCAAUGCUGAGUGGGUCUGGUGAAAGAGAGGGGUGAUGAUGAAGACGAAGAGAGAAG